GUUAUGGGCAGCAACACCCCCCACACAGCGCAGCAGCGUGCAUGUCAGCAAGCUCCGUGCCUGCAGCUUGCUGCCAGCCUCGGUUAGUGACCAGGCGCAGGGCGAAACGUGUGUGAAGCAAAGCGUGCCCACGGCAGCACCCUGCGUGUGAAGGGAGCAAGGAAGCAGUGUGUGGAGCCCAGCUAGAGGAGCGUGUCCACGCUGCUGGGCCCUCCUGCCCAGUGCCUCCUCACAAACCUCUCCCCGCAAAGCUUCUGCCUCUGUUGUUGCCUGGGCUGGGGAGAUGCAGGACAGAAAAAUAACCAAACCCUAUUUGCUGAAGCUAGGAGGGAACAUGGGUGACAGAACAGAAGGUUGUUGGUCCA
rnacentral:lncRNA from 1 species